GCCGAAAAUCGACUGUUAACAGCUGGUUUAACAGCCGACAGCCGACUGUCUGGCUGUCCGACUAUCUCAACAGCCAAUUCCUUUGUCUCACCGGAGCCCACACAUCAUCUAUACUCAAAUCUAGCCUAAAUCAUGCCUCUCACACAAUAAAAAUAAUAUUCCAACCAUUAAUCUAAUUAAAACUCAACAAAGCCCAAUAAUAUAAUUAUAACUCCACUGACAUUUACAAUAGGAUAUAGCCGACAAUUGCAAGUUCGACGAUAAGGAAGAUGUCUGGACAGCCGACUGUCAAUGAAAGUGAAAAUUUCUAACUCUUAAUUCUAACUUCGAGAAAGAGUGAAGGAGGAUGGAGGGGUAUUUUUGGAAAAAUGUCUUUAAAAUUUAUUUUUCUUUUUCUUUUUUUUUUGUUUUUUUAAAUCAAUCAAAGAUUAAAAGGGAAACAAGGUCGUCAAUCGACCAUUUUCACUAAUUUCCUCCAAUGCCUACCUAGAUUUGCCAGAUUCCAUGGGUAUUUCUCGAACGUUCAAUGUGGCAGAUUUGUAUAAGCCUUUGUAUCCAAAUUAUAACUCGGGGUCGAGUUCCAUAAAGAUGACAAGCCUUUGUAUCCAAAUUAUAAAUCAGGAUCGAGUUCUUCGGAGGUAGAAGGGACUGAUGACAUAAUGUGUAUAUUAAACAAUACUCACCGCUAUGCCAUGUACGAUGAAUUUCAGUCAUUCGAGUUCUUUUGGGACUCAAAAACUGAUUUUUAAAGUUUUGGCGCUAUUUUUGUCAAUUCGUUUUUUUUUUUUUUUUGCAAUUCUAGUUUGUUUAGACUUUGUUUUCGUUACUUUUAGUUGUUUUAAACUAUGUUUCCAUGUUGUAAUACACUUGCUCGACUCGGUCAUCUAAAGAAUUAUGCUUGAAAAAGGUCAAGUCUCUUUAGGCUCUAAUAGAUUGUGGGCCCUUAGAUUGAAUUAUUUGUUCUCAAACAAGAUAUUGAAUUAGUUAUUCUUAAAAAAGAUCGACAUUAUUGGUUUGGAUAAAAAAAAGGAUUUGUUCUAAAAAAAGGUCGACUCAAACAACCCUCGAAAAAAACACACUUGAGACUUAUUGGUCAACCUUUUACAAAUCAUGCGAAUUAGCUAUGCUAGCAUGAAGUAGACUUGCUUGGGCUCACGCAGUCCUUAGAUGGAAUUGUGCUCAAAUGAAGUCAACUCAAACAUGAAGGGAAUUAUGCUCGAAAGAGAUCAAAACUUGCUCAGUUUUGACUUGGUCUUAGGAUAAAGUAUAUUCAAACGGGGUUGAAAUUCACUUGGGCGACUCGCUCCUUGCUUUAUGUUCAAACGAAUACAUACUUGUCAAAUGUGAUUAGAUGAAUACAAAUUGCAAAUGAAAUAAAGAAUAUAUUUGCUUUAGAAGAUAUUAGUUUGAACAUACUAGUUGAAUCCAUUUAGAAGAUAUUAGGAUUUAAUAAUCUAUGAAAUCAAAUGAGAAAGAAAGAAA
rnacentral:lncRNA from 1 species